rnacentral:rRNA from 1 species
UACGAAGGGGGGCUAGCGUUGCUCGGAAUCACUGGGCGUAAAGCGCACGUAGGCGGCUUCUUAAGUCAGGGGUGAAAUCCUGGAGCUCAACUCCAGAACUGCCUUUGAUACUGAGGAGCUUGAGUCCGGGAGAGGUGAGUGGAACUGCGAGUGUAGAGGUGAAAUUCGUAGAUAUUCGCAAGAACACCAGUGGCGAAGGCGGCUCACUGGCCCGGUACUGACGCUGAGGUGCGAAAGCG